GUUAAAAAGCUCGUAGUUGGAUUUCGGAGUGGGCCAGUUGGUCCGCCGCAAGGUGUGUUACUGACUGGUUUGCUCUUCUUCGCAAAGACUGCGUGUGCUCUUGAGUGAGUGUGCCUAGGAUUUACGACGUUUACUUUGAAAAAAUUAGAGUGUUCAAAGCAGGCUAUUGCUUGAAUACAUGAGCAUGGAAUAAUGGAAUAGGACUUUGGUCCCAUUUUGUUGGUUUCUAGGGCCGAAGUAAUGAUUAAGAGGGACAAUUGGGGGCAUCCGUAUUUCGUUGUCAGAGGUGAAAUUCUUGGAUUUACGAAAGACGAACAACUGCGAAAGCACUUGCCAAGAGUGUUUUCAUUAAUCAAGAACGAAAGUUAGAGGAUCGAAGACGAUCAGAUACCGUCCUAGUUCUAACCAUAAACGAUGUCGACUAGGGAUCAGCGGGCGUUAUCGUACGACCCCGUUGGCACCUUACGGGAAACCAAAGUUUUUGGAUUCCGGGGGAAGUAUGGUUGCAAAGCUGAAACUUAAAGGAAUUGACGGAAGGGCACCACCAGGAGUGGAGCCUGUGGCUCAAUUUGACUCAACACGGGAAAACUUACCAGGUCCAGACAUAGUAAGGAUUGACA
rnacentral:rRNA from 1 species